rnacentral:misc_RNA from 1 species
AAGUCGUAACAAGGUUUCCGUAGGUGAACCUGCGGAAGGAUCAUUAAAGAUGUUUAUAUUUGAAUAUCGUCAAUGUGCAACCCUCCUCGUGUUGCUGGGAUUGAUGUGAGUACAUGUAUUUAGUAUGUAUGUAUGUGUAUGUUUUGGGUUGCUUUAACAGGUUAUCCAUUACAUAUUGCAUUGCAUACGUACGUACAUACGUCUAUGAGCAUCAACGAAUGCCCAGCAACAACCCUUUAUUAAUCAUAUAUACAUGACAGUGCUUGCUUCAUUAUAUUGAUUCUCAAUGAAUCGAUAUAUAUGGGGCAUAGCUCAAUACAAUGUACAACUUUUAGCAACGGAUCUCUUGGUUCUC